rnacentral:rRNA from 1 species
UACGAAGGGGGCUAGCGUUGUUCGGAAUUACUGGGCGUAAAGCGCACGUAGGCGGAUUUGUAAGUCAGGGGUGAAAUCCCGGGGCUCAACCCCGGAACUGCCCUUGAAACUGGAUGGCUAGAAUCCUGGAGAGGCGAGUGGAAUUCCGAGUGUAGAGGUGAAAUUCGUAGAUAUUCGGAAGAACACCAGUGGCGAAGGCGACUCGCUGGACAGGUAUUGACGCUGAGGUGCGAAAGCGUGGGGAGCAAACAGG